GAUGAACGCUGGCGGCAUGCUUAACACAUGCCAGUCGAACGGGAAGUGGUGUUUCCCGUGGCGAACGGGUGAGUAACGCGUAAGAACCUGCCCUUGGGAGGGGAACAACAACUGGAAACGGUUGCUAAUACCCCGUAGGCUGAGGAGCAAAAGGAGAAAUCCGCCCAAGGAGGGGCUCGCGUCUGAUUAGCUAGUUGGUGAGGUAAUAGCUUACCAAGGCGAUGAUCAGUAGCUGGUCCGAGAGGAUGAUCAGCCACACUGGGACUGAGACACGGCCCAGACUCCUACGGGAGGCAGCAGUGGGGAAUUUUCCGCAAUGGGCGAAAGCCUGACGGAGCAAUGCCGCGUGGAGGUGGAAGGCCUACGGGUCGUCAACUUCUUUUCUCGGAGAAGAAACAAUGACGGUAUCUGAGGAAUAAGCAUCGGCUAACUCUGUG
rnacentral:rRNA from 1 species